GCCUGGGGUCUUAAUGUGCCCCUCCAGGCCUCUCUGUCUAGGCCUUGGGGUUUUCUGUAGACCAUGCCCCUUUCUAGGCCACACCCCACCCUGACAUUAUCCCAUGCCCUCCUCAAAUGCCUUUGCCUUGGUUGAAAUAUGUCACUGAAUUGUCAUAAUGCCUCUUGAUUCCUUCAUUGCUUCAUUGGGAAUCUGGGACAGAGAGACAUAGGUACAGGAACCACUGGCUUGCCAUGGCUGGAAUGUAGCCUACUGCACAAAGAGAUUGAAACCAGGGGGCUGGUCAGAAUCAAAUAACACCAGAGUCUGAUCAGCAUUACAGAUUUGAUAAAGUAAAGGCUAUGGACUUCUGUGAAGAUAAUCCAGCGGGAUGUUAGAGGUGAAUCAUCUCUCAAACAGAGGAUUAAAGAACACAGUUUAGAUGACUGCAACAAGAUACACCUAUUCUAGCCCAGCUCUUUAAUUUUCCUCCAGUGCUAUCAGCUGGGUCUGGCAGCCAUUAUAUAAAUUUUCCUGCAAUGCCCCUGAUGCAGCAAAAUCUGGAGCACUGUGGGAAUUUAAAACGGU